GAGACAGGAGACUAUCCGGAGCCCAGGGUACACGAGGUGAUCACGUGACUCGUACCCCUGGCAACGCUGCCCAUGGCUGUCGUUCCCUGCUGCUUCGUGAGAUUUGUGAUGGUUAUAUAUGGGCUCUCUAGUUCUGCGGUGGUCUUGUCCAGCCCUGGUGCAGAGAUGAGUCACUACCACAGGACGUUAAAAGCUUGGACAUUUAUAACCAAUAAAAUGAGAACUUGGCACAGCCACAAGGUAACCUGAUGACUCGGUAAAACUACUUCCUAGAAUUGAAUUGGCAAUGGAUCAGAAGCAAGUUGAACGAGCAAAGGAGUUGUGAAAAAAACAUUUUGCUUCCUCGAGAAUGGAAGGUGAAGUCGCACAGCCAUUCAACCCUGCCCCCAGAAAGCUGAAGUCUUGGGCACAGUAACCUGAUGGAAAGCUCAGGGACUCGGUAAAACUACUUCCUAUAAUUGAAUCGGCAGUGGAUCAGAACAAGUUGAACAAGCAAAGGAGUUGAUAUGAAACCAGUCAUGCUGCUGGAGACUGAAAGGUGAAGUUGCACAGCCAUUCAACCCCAUCACCAGAGUGCAGAUGUCUUGGCAGAGGCCCAGAGUUACCAGCGUGAAGCUUAAGAAGAAAAGGUCUACCGUGAUAGGCAGUUGGUGGCAAGGCUAAAUGUUUCCUAAAUCCUGAGUUUAUGGUAGAGGCACAGGCAUAGUUAUGGAAGAGCCUGAUGAACAUAUUGUCUCCAUGCAUCCUUGACAUCUUUAUGCAUCAAGUUGGUGGGUGAUGAAGUACCACUUUAAGGAAGCAAGUCCUUUUGGAUAAAGGUGGUAUAAUAGGAAAUACUAUGUACCUUAUUUUAAAUAAAUUUAUUAAGUAG
rnacentral:lncRNA from 1 species